rnacentral:rRNA from 1 species
GCCCCACACAUGCUAGUCGAGCGGAAACGACACUAACAAUUCUUCGGGUGCGUUAAUGGGCGUCGAGCGGUGGACGGGUGAGUAAUGCCUAGGAAAUUGCCUUGAUGUGGGGGAUAACCAUUGGAAACGAUGGCUAAUACCGCAUAAUGCCUACGGGCCAAAGAGGGGGAUCUUCGGACCUCUCGCGUCAAGAUAUGCCUAGGUGGGAUUAGCUAGUUGGUGAGGUAAUGGCUCACCAAGGCGACGAUCCCUAGCUGGUCUGAGAGGAUGAUCAGCCACACUGGAACUGAGACACGGUCCAGACUCCUACGGGAGGCAGCAGUGGGGAAUAUUGCACAAUGGGCGAAAGCCUGAUGCAGCCAUGCCGCGUGUAUGAAGAAGGCCUUCGGGUUGUAAAGUACUUUCAGUUGUGAGGAAGGGGGUAACGUUAAUAGCGUUAUCUCUUGACGUUAGCAACAGAAGAAGCACCGGCUAACUCCGUGCCAGCAGCCGCGGUAAUACGGAGGGUGCGAGCGUUAAUCGGAAUUACUGGGCGUAAAGCGCAUGCAGGUGGUUCAUUAAGUCAGAUGUGAAAGCCCGGGGCUCAACCUCGGAACUGCAUUUGAAACUUGGUGAACUAAGUGCUGUAAGGGGGGUAGAAUUUCAGGUGUAGCGGUGAAAUGCGUAGAGAUCUGAAGGAAUACCAGUGGCGAAGGCGGCCCCUGGACAGACACUUGACACUCAGAUGCGAAAGCGUGGGGAGCAAACAGGAUUAGAUACCCUGGUAGUCCACGCCGUAAACGAUGUCUACUUGGAGGUAGUGGCCUUGAGCCGUGGCUUUCGGAGCUAACGCGUUAAGUAGACCGCCUGGGGAGUACGGUCGCAAGAUUAAAACUCAAAUGAAUUGACGGGGGCCCGCACAAGCGGUGGAGCAUGUGGUUUAAUUCGAUGCAACGCGAAGAACCUUACCUACUCUUGACAUCCAGAGAAGCCAGCGGAGACGCAGGUGUGCCUUCGGGAACUCUGAGACAGGUGCUGCAUGGCUGUCGUCAGCUCGUGUUGUGAAAUGUUGGGUUAAGUCCCGCAACGAGCGCAACCCUUAUCCUUGUUUGCCAGCGAGUAAUGUCGGGAACUCCAGGGAGACUGCCGGUGAUAAACCGGAGGAAGGUGGGGACGACGUCAAGUCAUCAUGGCCCUUACGAGUAGGGCUACACACGUGCUACAAUGGCGCAUACAGAGGGCAGCAAGCUAGCGAUAGUGAGCGAAUCCCAAAAAGUGCGUCGUAGUCCGGAUUGGAGUCUGCAACUCGACUCCAUGAAGUCGGAAUCGCUAGUAAACGUAAUC